ensembl:ncRNA lncRNA:CR45502 long non-coding RNA:CR45502
GUAAAAAACUAGGAAUGACAUAAAUAUGAAGAUGCAAGCAUAAGCAUGUCAAGACCUUACGGGAGCGGGGGGUUGGAGUUUGGAACAGGUGACGCAACAUCUGUCACUGCAACAAGAACGCUCUCUGUCAAUAUUGAAAGCGUACGUGUGUCCAACCGCACACACACACACACGCAGGUUCCUGUUGGGGAACUAGUGCGGGAAGGCACGGAGCUUCUCCCACGAAGGACUGCAUCCAAUAACGCAAGAUCUAAGGUUAAAAAGGACGCCAGGAGACAUAUUCUGCGUCCAAAUCUCCACUACCAACGAGGCUGUACGCCAAAUGGUUACCUAGUUAUAAUACAUGUGUUGAAAAAAACACACAGGCCGAGUGUAAAGAGGAAGCUUUAUGACUGGAGCAUCGCGUUGGCGCUCCCGAAAUUUCCGCCAGCGUGGGCAUGCCAAGGGUGAUGAUGACCUACACUGGCGUCGCCUUCCCGAACACUUACCCGUUACAGACAAAUCUUUUGAGGCCCAUGGAUCGGAGCCUUGUUUUCUUACACUAGAACAUAUCAAUGAGAAUCCCAAAAACUGUGGUCGUCGCCCCGCCCCUUAUAUUUAAUUAACUAAUUUUCGUAAUAUCUAAUUUCGCGUGCAUCUUCCAGUCCAAGCAAAAAUAAUCAUUUCGCGACAGCGAUUAUGUAUUAUAUUAUUUUACUAAUAAUAACACCGAAAAAUUAAUAAAAACAAAAGAGAAUGCUAUAGUCGUCUUC